rnacentral:tRNA from 1 species
GUCAACUUGGCCGAGUGGUUAAGGCGUAUGCCUGCUAAGUGUAUUCCAUCUGGAGCGCAGGUUCGAACCCUGCAGUUGACG